UUUCCUUAGAUUGGGGUUGGUUUUCGCUUUCCUUUCCAUACAAAGAGUUUCUGAAUUGAUUUUAAUUUUAGAUUUACAUAACCUCGAUUAUCUAACAGCCGUUUAAGAUUUGUGACCAAAAUUAGACAUGAGUGUAAAGUUCAACGAUUACAGAUAUGGUUUUAACAUUAAUUGUAGGAGAAACAUCUCAUUCUUAUGUGAUUGAAUACCAG
rnacentral:misc_RNA from 1 species